ensembl:lncRNA
CAUUAUUGGAGAUGCAGUUUAUUCCUAACAUUUGGCAAAUUAGGCAGCGCUCAUGUGGUUAAAACACACUUUUUCAUUAAAAAUUAUAAUCGGGGAAAAACAAAUUAGAAGUGAAAUGAAAUAGGCUUUUUAUUUUUCCCCGUUUACCAAGAGAUUAUAUAUUUCCCAAACACAAUUUCUCUAAUCCAUAUCUAAUGCAUUAGAGGCAUUCUGCUAUUUUGCUCUAGACAAACAAAUUUCCCACCCAGUGUGGGAUCACAGCCCUGUUCCAGAGAGAAAAACAAGUCAUAAUAAUACAGAGGCCACUAAAGGAAAAUGUUAAAAUAAUUAAAAUAUGAAAGAAGCUGCUGUCUUCCUGGGAUUUCAAUUUCGGAGAUGCCUGAGGGGAGGGGGUUGGAUAUCUCACACUGAUACACUGUUUGAUAAAGUGUGAUAAAGACUUAGAAAAAUUGGCAGAUUAAACUGAAAUAAAAGCUGCGGAUGUUUGCAUUCAGAAAGCUAUUAAAAGCAGUGUGAUUGAGCAGCAAGAAGCUUCUCUUUUAUGCAAGAAUGCACCAGAGUGGGAUGUUUGCUGCACUGAUGUCAAGGAGAUCAAAAGAGUUGUUUUUGUUAGUUGCACUAACUGUUCUUUUUGGUUGCUGACUUGGCUGUGCAGUUUGAAGCCUCCAGGAUUGUGCUGCACAGUGAUGCUGCCAUACCAUGAGACUGUAAGCCAUAUGGGUGCUUCCUAAUGCAACGCCUGCUUUUGGAAGAGCCUGAAAAUCCAUUUGUGGUAGGUGUAAGUGGAGUUGUCAUCUCACAUAGAACCAAGUUGGCUCACCCAAACGUCUACUUUCUCAUUGACUCUUUGCCUCAAGACCCGGUGGAAUGUUUGCCUCCAUUCUGUUGUCUUCAAAUCAGUGGUCCUCUUUUGUGGUGGUUCAGACUCAUACCGUCAGCGUGCUAGGUUAUCUUGGUUUGCUGUCAGUAAUUUUCUGGGACAGGCUCCCAGCCUGGCCUGUGUCCUCUGCCCGGGAGCUCCGCUCCUAAAUCUUGCAGUCACUGCGACUGGGCAGAGGAGCCCAUUUCCCUGGGAUUUUCGACCUGUCCUGCUGCCAGUCAGUGUCUGGUCCGAUUACAUCUCGUCUGUUUUUAAUGGGCUCGUUAACAUUUGGACACGCUCACAUGUUCUGCUGACAAAACACCCCCACGGAGCUAAAUAAAC